rnacentral:rRNA from 1 species
UACGAAGGGGGCUAGCGUUGUUCGGAAUUACUGGGCGUAAAGCGCGCGUAGGCGGCUUCUUAAGUCAGGGGUGAAAUCCUGGAGCUCAACUCCAGAACUGCCUUUGAUACUGAGAAGCUUGAGUCCGGGAGAGGUGAGUGGAACUGCGAGUGUAGAGGUGAAAUUCGUAGAUAUUCGCAAGAACACCAGUGGCGAAGGCGGCUCACUGGCCCGGUACUGACGCUGAGGUGCGAAAGCGUGGGGAGCAAACAGG